CCUACGGGUGGCAGCAGUGGGGAAUUUUGCGCAAUGGGCGAAAGCCUGACGCAGCAACGCCGCGUGGAGGAUGAAGGUUCUCUGAAUCGUAAACUCCUGUCGGCCGGGACGAAUGGACGGGACGCUAAUCAAUCCCGUCUUGACUGUACCGGCAAAGGAAGCCCCGGCUAACUCCGUGCCAGCAGCCGCGGUAAUACGGAGGGGGCAAGCGUUACUCGGAAUUAUUGGGCGUAAAGGGCGCGUAGGCGGUCCCGCACGUCGGAGGUGAAAUCCCCGGGCU
rnacentral:rRNA from 1 species